UACGUAGGGUGCAAGCGUUAAUCGGAAUUACUGGGCGUAAAGCGUGCGCAGGCGGUCCGUUAAGACAGAUGUGAAAUCCCCGGGCUUAACCUGGGAACUGCAUUUGUGACUGGCGGACUCGAGUAUGGCAGAGGGGGGUAGAAUUCCACGUGUAGCAGUGAAAUGCGUAGAGAUGGUGGAGGAAUACCGAUGGCGAAGGCAGCCCCCUGGGCCAAUACUGACGCUCAUGCACGAAAGCGUGGGGAGCAAACAGG
rnacentral:rRNA from 1 species